UGGCUGCUUAGUGUCUUUUUAAAAAAAUUUGAGGAUAAUUCAGUCAUUUAGCAUAGCUCUAUACGUGGCUUUUUUUCUCCUUCCGCAAAUACUACGUGUAGCUUUCUUUGUUUCUUUCUCCGCCGGCGCAUCCUUUUCCCGCCUCAUAAUCGGAUCGCUUAUCUGAGGCCCUGAGUCUGCUCCUCUUUCUUCAUUCUCGGUUUUUACUGAUUUCUCUUUGGAAUUUCACUCCCAAUACAGUACAAUUUAUCUCUCUUGUGCUCAACCCAAGAGUUCCGUUAUGGAAGAGCGUGGAGAAAACCAUGAAAGGACCAAUUUUAAUUGCAAAUCUAAAUGUCAUAGGAUUAUCAGUUAUCAUUGGAUGUUACAGAGCAUGUGCUUGAAGACGCCUUCAGCCAUUUUUGUAAAAAUAUCAUUGUCAGUAUCUUGUGAAGAAUAUUUAGGCGACUUUCCGUUCAGGAGAUCUCGGACGACCCUUGAAUGAUUAAGACAGCUAAUCCGAAUGGAGCCUGCUGAAAUUAAGUGAUAUUUUUGCAUACUGCUCUCAUCUCGAGUCUAUCAACCCAUUUGCACCAGUUGAAUAAUGUCCAGCAUCACAAAAUUUGACAGAAGAUCCCUAGUAGAUGUGAAAUUCUUGAGAGUCUAUACCUCUUUUGCAGGCCGCUGGCAGAAAUGUUGAGGUUGCAGGAAACGUCAAUGACGAGAUCUUUUGAGAAUUAAUAGGCUGGAUCUAGAGAGAAUCUGCUGGAAGGCAUUUGUUAUUAAAUAACAAAAUUUAGUGCAUUUUCUUAAAGCUAUAGAAUUUGGGGCAACGGAUCUGUCAUAUCUGCUUGACUAAAUUGACGUUCACAAUUACAAGGUUAAAGAGGAAGCUUUUAGUAGGAGAGACAUGACCUUGAAAAGGUAGCGAAGGUCGUAGGCUGCACGUCGGUGAUGAGUACUGGCUGGAGGAGUGUAAGAGGUUGGAAAUUAUGUAGCAUUUGUAGCCACUUAUGCAUGUUUCUGCACCAUACUUCUUUUUGUAAUAAUUCUCGCAUAGAAAAAUAAGCCCUUGAUGUAAGAGUUAUAGCCACAAGUCUAUUUAGAAGGAACAUUCAAACACAAACUACAACCAAUACCAGCUCAUGAUACAAGUACAAAUUCAAAAAUCAACGACAUAAAUCUUUAUAUCCUCCUUCAACAAACGUUAUAACCGCAUGAUACAAACAAAAAGAUGAGAACUGAAUAUAUGCUACCUAAGUGAAGAAUGUGAUGCUUAUCAGAGUUUUGGAGUGAAUUCAGGCAACUUAAAUAUUGAAAUGACGGAGGUAAAUUUACAAGGUCAGAUCUGGGGCGCCGACAAAGGAACAUAUUGCUUGGACGGAGAGAGAACACAGGUCAGUAACCGUUUAGCUUCAGUCUAAUGUGCAAUAUUAAGCUAGAUGUCUUUUUCUUAUGUGCUUAUAAGAAACUCAUGAGUAUAUCUUCUGUGUUUCAGGUUACUCCAGAUUAUUUGUUUUAGCCUAUGUCAUAUUUACGUCACCUCUGUCUGUGUGCAUCCACCAUAUAAAUGACAGAGAAAAUGUUACACUUAAACGAUUAGUAGGUUCUUAAUAAGUUAAUAAUGUAAUCAGUUGUUGGAAGCCUUAUGAGUUUAUAACAUGGAUAGUUGACGCUUGCUUACUUCACAAAAGUAUGAUACGGUUUUUCUGCAUUGCAAUUUGAGUAUUCUACCCAGUCUAGAUAGUCACAUUGUCUAACUUAUGAAGAUUUUCAUUGUGGUAAUUAUGUCUUUAAUUCAAUCACCACUAUCGUUUUGCAUAUAUGGCUUUGCCAAGCUUGAGCUAACUAUUUUGGCAUCUCCACGUGAUAGGGCCAUCAAUAACUCCAUAAGGCUGAGGUUCUUUGCAGUACACAUCUUUUUUCUUGAUCUUCACUAUAAGAUAUUAUCAGAAAGUUGAUGUUGGCAGAACACUCCCAGUAAUUAAGAAAUAGCAUACAUCUCCAUAGUCCUUGCUAGAAAUGAUAAUGGAAGAGGAGUACAAUAAUAUUUUAAUGGUUAAAGCUCUUAGUAAGGAACAAUACAGUCGGUUGACCUCACCGGCAAUCUUAUGUAGAGCAAAGCAACAAUCAAUCCUAAACGGUGAAAAUGGAGAGAGAAAAAGCGAUGGAACCAAAGACAAUAGAUAAGAUGUGGCUUUUUAGCUUUGAAGCGGACGACACGUUUCUUAGAUAUGGUAAAAAGCCAACAAUACCCUCAACUAAAAAUUUAAUGAUACUAAGCUCACACGUCGAAACUCUAGCUCUUCUAUAAUAUAGAUAGAAAAUAUUCGUCCUUCUUUGAGGGUUUUCUCUCCGUGUGUGCUUUGCACACAUCUAUCUUCAUCUGAUUUUUUAUUUCAGUAAUCCAAGAUGCAAUAAUCGGGGACAACUUCAGCAUUGAAGAUCUCAGCUAAGGUAGAAUACUAUUCUUAAGCCCUUGUACUUAAAGGGUCAUCAACCCUAUCCAAUAACCACUUUAUCUGCUCGCCUAUAUAUUUUGUGGCAAAAAGUUUUGAUUGGGGUGUUUUUGUUUCUUUUGUGUUUAGUAAAAUUGGUUUGAAUACCUCAUAUUAUUUAUUAAGAAUAACUUUUCAAUAUGAAGAAAGACCAGAUCUUUAUAACGCUCUCAAAGUGAGCUUUCCUAUCUGACUAUCCCAGUCUUGUGCUCGCUCCUAUUUGGAAAUUUUCAAUACACUACUAGAACUGAGAUGAAUUUGUAGUUUGUUUUCGUUGAAUAGACUUAGGGACUUCACUGAGAAGACUCAAACAUGACAAAAAUGUUUAUCUGAGAUUUUGGGGAGGUUUCGGGUAAGGUUCAUCUCAUAUUUUAAAAGACCCAAUGCAAUUUUGUUGCUUUACUGUACAUAGAGACUUGAAUCGUUAUAUCUUAUUCGUCUUACGUGUUAAGAUUUAAAAGACAUGAAUGGUGCUACUACUUUCAGAAGUUCAAAAUAGACCACACAUCGUGUGAACUGUGUAAAUAUCUGAUAUGAAACUCAAAUCUCUUAUGUUAGAGUCAUAAUCAAUACGCUUGUCAGUUCUCACUGAUUUGUGUAUCAGUCUAUUAUUUGAGCUAUGAUAAACAUUUAUUUCAAGUAAAAGUGCAUUAGAUUAGAAUUCUUGAUAUCACAUAAUCUGAAAUGAAGGUAAUAAAAAAAGGAGGAAAAAAAUUUACACUUCAGCCAGCCCUGGUUAAUCUUCUUAAGGGAGAUCUAUAAUUUCAGAUUAAAGAUUGAAUGCUGGUAUAGAGUAGCACAUUUUUAGCAACCAUUGAAUAAAAUUAGAGAAAAAAGUAUGAAAGAAUAGAAUUAGGUAAAUAUUCUACUUUAGUAUAGACCCUUAUCUGAGUAUGUGAUGCACAUAGACCUAUCUUUCAAAGAUAUUCUUUAUUCAAGUACAACAACUAAGUGAAUAGGCAGUGCCUCCACAUAGCCAGAUAAACAUCAGUUUGAGUAGAAGAACAUUAGGUGCUUAAAUCAUAAACAUGAUCUUUUUUGAUUUACUGAUUAUGCAUGCGUAUCUUUUUUCCUACUAUUUUGUUUAGCUAUCUUUUAUAGCUACUUGCUGCAGUACAAUAAAGCUGUAAAGUUUAUCCUUUUUUAAAUCCUUUUUAACCCCUUCUUUUGCGUAGUGGGUGGUUGAAGAAUGAGGGGGUUGAAGUAAUUAUUUAUUUAGAAUUGUAAUUUCGAGCCUUUGAUCUUGUACUUAUCAUUCCUAAUUGUCUAUUUGAUGACCUAUUGAACAACCUAAGUGUAUAUGAGUAAUAUCAUUGAACUCAACUGGUGAUCUUUGCUCUAUAUUACUAAAUUUAUACUAUAAAUUUAUGGUUAAAUAUGCUAUUAUAAGUUAAAGCACGUGCUAGCCAUUGUUCUGGUCCACUUAAGGCGGGAAAUAUCAGUUAUUUUUUUGACAAGGACAUGCUACUUUGUUCAGUGAUUGUGGAUUCAGCCUGCUUUGAUUCUAAUAUUUUCGAUUUCUUCAAGUUGAUCUUGGUUCUGCAACUAAGGUAUUGUGUGUAGGUUCCUCCCUUUAAUGUACUUCACGUGUCCUCUACUUUAUCCUUUCCUAAUGUUCAAAUUGCUACUUCAUAUUUUAUGUUCAUAUUAGGAAGUGCAUAAAUGUGCACAAGACAAAUAUGAAAACGAAAGAUCAUGGCUAAAAGAACAUACAUAUCAAAAUAAAGUUGUACUUUUUAAUUUAUCCAUAAAAAGCUUUCAAAAAGUGGAAUAAGGAGUACGCUUUUUCUAAUUUUUCAGCCAAGUAGUUGGCUUUUAAACCCUUCAUAUCUCUAAGGUGCGAUGCUAUUUUUUCCUUAAGUGCAAAUGUAACUAUUGGUUUUUACUUCACUUACAUAUGCAACAACAUUAAGAUUUUUUUUUUUAAAAACAAAAUUACUCCACGAGCUGAACAUAUCUUAAAUGUGUGCAUUUAAGUUAACUUUGAACAUGAGAUGUCAAUAGUCAUCUUUGCUUCUUGUGAUAUGAUUUGAGCAGUCAAUAUAGCUGAACUCAAGAGGAUUGAUCUGCUUAGCUGACAAUAAGAUAUAUUUAUCUGUGAUGAAUUGCUGCAACCGAGGACGGGAGAAAGUAGCAUAUAAAAAGGGCAUUCUGCUGUUGCAUAUUGUCACUUUAAAUGAUGCUUCUCCAGCCUCAUACACCUGAUUAGUUAAGCAAAUUCAAGUGAAAAUUUGAAUUGUUUUAUCAUUUUACUUAAUCGACUUUAUCGCAUAUGAUUAGGUAUUUUGCUCAUUAUUAAGCAAAUGUAUUUUAAAGUUGAGUAAAUGGUUUGUGGAAGGAAUUAGAAAUUGCUGCAAUUUCUUUUAUUUGUAGGUUGCUUUGCAGAAGAACCAGAUAAAGAUGAUCGAGGCACUACUCACGAAGUGGAGGUAAAACAUAAAAUCUGUCAAUAAAGAGAAUAGAUAAAUGCACUCACAAUGAAGUGAUGCCUAGCUCAGCAGAGUUUUAAUAAGUUGAAGAGGGAGAUGACCCAAGAUAUGCUGGUUAAGAAAUUGAAAAAUGUCUAAUGAAAUAAUUGCACAUGUCUGAUUUAGGUAGAACUCACUUUAUUCAUCUAUAUAUGAUGGAUCUAACUUUUUUUGAUUCCUGAGGACAAAUACAAAGGAGCAGGCAUUUUCACUGGUGCAAAGUCCUUGCAAUUGUAUGCCUGUUAAUUGGAUUAUGUAAUGUCGUUCAUUAAUGGUGUAAACUGCUGUAUACUUUGUCUGACAUCUAAUUUGAUAAUUAAUUACAUGAAUCAAUUUUUAUUA